AUGAACGCUGGCGGCGUGCCUAAUACAUGCAAGUCGAGCGAACGGACGAGAAGCUUGCUUCUCUGAUGUUAGCGGCGGACGGGUGAGUAACACGUGGAUAACCUACCUAUAAGACUGGGAUAACUUCGGGAAACCGGAGCUAAUACCGGAUAAUAUUUUGAACCGCAUGGUUCAAAAGUGAAAGACGGUCUUGCUGUCACUUAUAGAUGGAUCCGCGCUGCAUUAGCUAGUUGGUAAGGUAACGGCUUACCAAGGCAACGAUGCAUAGCCGACCUGAGAGGGUGAUCGGCCACACUGGAACUGAGACACGGUCCAGACUCCUACGGGAGGCAGCAGUAGGGAAUCUUCCGCAAAGGGCGAAAGCCUGACGGAGCAACGCCGCGUGAGUGAUGAAGGUCUUCGGAUCGUAAAACUCUGUUAUUAGGGAAGAACAUAUGUGUAAGUAACUGUGCACAUCUAGACGGUACCUAAUCAGAAAGCCACGGCUAACUACGUG
rnacentral:rRNA from 1 species